GGUAUGGAUAAAGGUUCAAGUUUGGGGCUGUUGGGAAAGUUGAAAAAGAAAAAUAUAAGCAUUGAGCUAAUGUGUUGAGUAAAACAUGAAAAGAUGAAAAAGAUAAAAGAAAGAGAAAAGAAAAAAAAGAUAAAAUGAGAAGAAAAGCUCAAUGCAAAGAAAAGGGAAAGUUGGGAAUGAGUGAGAUUGGUUGUUUAAAGAGAGUUUGUGCUUAAAUUAUAAAUGUGAAUAACUCUCUUAACUCUCAAGGAUUUUGUGAUCCAG
rnacentral:lncRNA from 1 species